GCGCCCGUAGCUCAGUGGAUAGAGCGGUGGACUUCGAAUCCAAAGGUCGGGGGUUCAAAUCCCUCCGGGCGCG
rnacentral:tRNA from 2 species